rnacentral:rRNA from 1 species
CGCUGGCGGCGUGCCUAACACAUGCAAGUCGAGCGGGGUCCAUCCGGUAGCAAUACCGGGGAAGACCUAGCGGCGAACGGGUGAGUAACACGUGAGAAACCUGCCCCGAAGUCUGGGAUAACCCGAGGAAACUCGAGCUAAUACCGGAUGUCUUCUUCUGAUCGCAUGGUCGGAUGAAGAAAGAUUUAUCGCUUCGGGAGGGUCUCGCGGCCUAUCAGCUAGUUGGCGGGGUAACGGGCCCACCAAGGCGUCGACGGGUAGCUGGUCUGAGAGGACGAUCAGCCACACUGGGACUGGGACACGGCCCAGACUCCUACGGGAGGCAGCAGUGGGGAAUAUUGCGCAAUGGGCGAAAGCCUGACGCAGCAACGCCGCGUGCGGGAUGAAGGCCUUCGGGUUGUAAACCGCUUUCAGUGGGGACGAAUUCAGACGGUACCCACAGAAGAAGCCCCGGCCAACUACGUG